ACGGAAGGCAGCAGUGAGGAAUAUUGGUCAAUGGGCGAGAGCCUGAACCAGCCAAGUAGCGUGAAGGAUGACUGCCCUAUGGGUUGUAAACUUCUUUUGUUCGGGAAUAAAGGAGCCUACGCGUAGGCUUUUGCAUGUACCGUUCGAAUAAGCAUCGGCUAAUUCCGUGCCAGCAGCCGCGGUAAUACGGAAGAUGCGAGCGUUAUCCGGAUUUAUUGGGUUUAAAGGGAGCGUAGGCGGCCUUUUAAGUCAGCGGUCAAAUGUCAGCGCCCAACGCUGGCCUGCCGUUGAUACUGAUGGGCUUGAAUACACACAAGGAAGGUGGAAUUCGUCGUGUAGCGGUGAAAUGCUUAGAUAUGACGAGGAACUCCGAUUGCGUAGGCAGCUGACCAGGCCGUAAAUGACGCUCAUGCACGAAAGUGCGGGGAUCGAACAGGAUUAGAUACCCUGGUA
rnacentral:rRNA from 1 species